GGUCUCGUCUUUGACAAAAACGUUACUUUCCAUGUUCCUAAUAGGAAAGACAAGAUAAGAAGGAACUCAAAUCUAGUAUUCCAUAGCACAAGGGCAAAAAGCAAGUUGGAUUUCUAUCAUAGUUCUCCAAUUUCAUUUCCUGCCGCGGACUUUAAUAGCCUGCCUGUUCCCUUUCUUGACACCAGAUUUGGCUACUUCGAGAAUCCUGUGCACAGCACUCAACCUUGCUAGGGCAGCAUCCUUCAAAUCAGGCCUGAAAUAGUUAUCUGCAACCUGCAGUUAAAUUGCCAUAGUUAUGCGGGAAUGUGCAACAGAUAUCCCAUAACAAGGGGCCAAGAAGGAAAA